rnacentral:rRNA from 1 species
CCAGACUCCUACGGGAGGCAGCAGUGAGGAAUAUUGGUCAAUGGGCGAGAGCCUGAACCAGCCAAGUCGCGUGAAGGAUGACGGCCCUACGGGUUGUAAACUUCUUUUGUCAGGGAGCAAUUGGGUCCACGCGUGGGCUUAGCGAGAGUACCUGAAGAAAAAGCAUCGGCUAACUCCGUGCCAGCAGCCGCGGUAAUACGGAGGAUGCGAGCGUUAUCCGGAUUUAUUGGGUUUAAAGGGUGCGCAGGCGGUCUGUUAAGUCAGCGGUCAAAGCCCGGGGCUCAACCCCGGUCCGCCGUUGAAACUGGCAGUCUCGAGUUGGAGAGAAGUAUGCGGAAUGCGUGGUGUAGCGGUGAAAUGCAUAGAUAUCACGCAGAACUCCGAUUGCGAAGGCAGCAUACCGGCGCCCAACUGACGCUGAAGCACGAAAGCGUGGGUAUCGAACAGGAUUAGAUACCCUCGUAUC